ACGCUCGACACCUACGGGGAGGCAGCAGGUGGGGAAUAUUGCACAAUGGGGGAAACCCUGAUGCAGCGACGCCGCGUGAAGGAUGAAGUAUUUCGGUAUGUAAACUUCUAUCAGCAGGGAAGAAGUGACGGUACCUGACUAAGAACGCCCCGGCUAACUACGUGCCAGAAGCCGCGGUAAUCUGAGGCGGGCUGGCAAGGC
rnacentral:rRNA from 1 species